AAAAGAAAAGCAACAAGCACUCAUGUGCAUACUGUAACAUACACUUGCUAAGCACCGUUGUUGCUCUGCGUCUUCUGUUUUCGUUCGCAUUUAGCAUCUCUCUCUCUCUCUCUCUCUCUCUCUCUCUCUUUUGUGCGGAGAGACUCUUUGCGUUUCUGGAGCAAUCCGCGCCAACUGUAACUACUACUUUUUACUCUACACACUUCACGCAAAACGAUUUCGUUCAUGAAAACCCUAGUGUGCUGAGAAAAUGUGCGAAUUGGGAUAGGGUUUAGGGUCUUGAAUCGAAUUGACGGAUAAUAGGGAAUUUUCCUGGUACCAAAAUCAUAUCUUUUUUGGUUUACCUAUUGUAAUGUUUGGCUGCUGAGAAAGUGUGGGAAUUGGGGAUUUGGGAAGGAAAGUUUAAUGUUUAAUGUUUAUUUUUUAUUUAUAUAUAUACGAAUCUUAAAUUUAAUAACUUCAGGCUUAUGAAAGUGGCAACCGUACAAAAACACGGAUUUUGAUUGAUCUUUUUCGGUCCGGUGUUUUGGUACGCGUAAGUUUGGGUUUUUCUUUACCAUUUUGCUGAUUAUUACUAAAUGCCUAAUGCAGUGAUUGGGUACACACUGGAUUUGCAUGUCUGACUAUUCACUUGCAUAUCGCUGUGCGCCUUCCUGCUUUCUUGUUUUGUUUGUAAAAGUGGGUAAUUGCUUCUAUGCGUUGGGUCAUUAGAUUUGCAUGAGGAUUUGUUGUAUGAUUUUGAACUGAGUAAGGCCCUUUACCUGUUGCUUGAGGAAAAAAAAGACGAGGUGUUGCUUUGAGGCCAAUAUGUCAUAAAUGUUGACGGAAGAUAGUUUGUUUCUUUAUGUUCACAAAGGGCCUCACAAUUUCUGUUCUCAAUCAGGUUGAUAAAAUUUAUGCACCAGGACCUGAAGCUGAGCUUGUAGAGCGGCAUGGGAUUUGAUAAUGAGUGCGUAUUGAAUAUCCAAUCUCUUGCCGGAGAGUACUUUUGUCUGGUUUGUAGUCUGUUUGUCUACCCGAUGAAGCAUUGCAGUGACAGUGCACUCAUCUAUACUAGAAGCCAUAUUUGACAUACGUUGUGAGCCCUACCUGACAGUUCCCAUAUGACAGCUACUUAGUGACAGAAGCCGAUGCCAAGCCACUUGUCGAACGGAAUAAGACCCGCCCUGAAACCAUAGGAAAAGUAGCAGUUGAUUGCCUCUAUCACAGGAGUGGAUGCACAUGGCAGGGAGCUGUGGAUGUGCCUUUGGCAAUUUUCCUGUAGUAUGCAACAGGUGUGGAAUCCAAAUUGUGCAUCGUCAGGUGCAGGAGCAUGCACAAAAUUGCCCUGGUGUGCAGCCUCAAGCGCAGCAGGCUGAUGGUGCUUUGGACACUUCAGCUUCUGGCACAUCAGCCACUGCUGAUCAGACCCAGGCUGCCACUCAGUCAGGAGUAGCGAAGUCUCAGGCCCAGGUUUUUCAAAUUACAAGUGUCACUCCACCUGGAUCCGAUCCAGAUCAGAAAGCAAACUCUAGUUCUCAAGCUGUUGUUCAAGCUGCUGUGCAAACUGCUGAACAGUGGUACCAACAUCAGCAACAAUAUCAACAGUACUACCUUAAGAACUACUUUACCUAUCAACAGGCAGCAGUUCAACAAUCACAGCAGCGGCAUUUGCAAUCUCAUCCAACAUACGGGACAGUCCAGAAUCAACCUCGGGCAUACUUGCAAUCUCAGCCCCAAACUCAACCUUCACUACGGGCCCAACUAUCUCAAUCUCAAGCUCAACCCCAACCCCAAAUUCAGCCCCCGCAUGUGCAGGUUCCUGUUGCCUCUCAAACUCAAAAUCAGGCACAAGUGAACAAACAGCAGCAACUUCACCCUGCAGUGCAGACUUAUCCAGCUGCUCGUAGGCAGCCACUCCCUCAACCUCAAUAUUUCCAAGCUCCAUCCCAUUCACAACCACAUCCUCAGCAUGUGCAAAUGCCUCAUAAUCAGCAGGCCCAAAUUCAGCAACAUACCCACUCCAAGAUUCACCCGCAACACCAUCCCAUUUCUCAACCCCAACCUCAUUCACAACCUCAGCCACAGCUUCAACGGCAUCCCCAGCCCCAUCCCCAACUUCACCCUUCUCAGCCCAUGAAUACUACCGUCCAGCCUCAGACACAACAUCCAUCAUCUCAUGCAGUGACUGGUAAUCACUUGUACCCUCAACCUCGCCUUCACCAACCAGUGCAGUCAGGCGCCCCACAACAACGUACUAUGGACAUGCAAUCUCAUGGUGUACCUCACUCUCAGUCACAAACUCCUGUUCAAAUACAGAGUCAGUCCCCUCAACAACCCCCAGUCAUGCGGCUGCCCCCAUCUCAUAUUCCAAACCAGCAGCAGCCAGCUUUGUUGCCUUCUCCUGGUCAAAUCCGAAACAUUAAUCCUGCACAACAGCAGCCGGUUCACUCUUAUGCUCAGCAACCUGGGAAUACUGUUCAACAGCGCCCUCUUAUGCAUGCAGUUCAACGAUCUAUUCCUCGUCAAUAUCUCCACCAUCAGCCCUAUGUACAACAGCAACCACCUACACAGUUACAUCCCCGGGGUCAAUCUCAUUCAUUCCCUCUGCAUGUUCAUGCCUCUACACAGUCUCAGCGGAACAUUGCAUUGUCUCAGGGCAUUGAACUUAGCCAGUCUAAUCUUGGCGGAAGCAGAAGGCCUAUGAUGCCAAUUCAUGGAGUACAAUCUCAGACCUCUGUACAAACUGCUGGAGGUCUUCACAUGAGGCCAGUGCAUCCUGCUGUAAAUCUUCCAUCUACAAAUCAGAGCAAUAUGGUCAGAACAAAAAACCUAGUGCAAUCUGGAGCGAACUGGAGACCAACCACGUCUGAGAGGCAUGCUGAGCAAGAAUCUGAGUCAUCAGCUCAGCAAAUUGUUAAAAAUGUUACACAUGAUGUGGGUACAGCAUCUGCUGUGGUAGGUGAUGCCGAGGUUAAAACUGGGAAAUCUGAGAUGGAUAUGAAGUCCAUUGAUAAUGAGGUUAAACCUACUGGUGAAGAUAAAACUAAUCAUGGUGAUACAUCUUCCAAGGAGAUUCCAGAUAUACAUGCACUUGAAAAUGGAGAGUCUGUAAGUCAUUCAAUGUUGAAUGCAGCUGAUCAAAAUAAGGCACGAAAGUCGGGGGUGGCGAGAGGGAGGCAUUAUAGAGGGGUGAGGCAGAGGCGGUUGGGGAAGUUCACGGCUGAGAUUCGGGACCCAGCUAAGAAGGUAUCCAGAAACAGAGUGUGGCUUGGGUGCUAUGAGACCUCUGAGGAAGCGGCUUUGGCUUAUGAUAGAGCCGCCCAACGCAUACAUGGCUCCAAGGCUUUGCUCAAUUUCCCAAUCUGCCACACCAGAUUGCCUUGAAUGAGCCUCCACCUGUCUGAGUCACUGGCAAGCUCAAAGAACCAGAGAAAGAGGCUGCCACUGCUUCAACAACGCCGAAAUCCAGUAAGAGGACCACUCCUCGGCGGCUGACCAUGAUCAUCAAGCAAAUGUGUUUCGGACAAUGCAAAAGAAUAGUAUGGGUCUGCUGUCACUUGGCGAGAAACUAUUGCAAAUCGUGGUCGGGUUGGUGGGGUGAUUGUAGACCGGCAAGACAGACUUAUACUUACUCGCCUUUUCUUUCCAAGCUUGGAGUCGUGGAUCCAAAAGCUACUGAGGAGAGGACCUUCAAUGUAGGCGUUGAUGAGGUUGUGAACUUGCUUAUGUGCUCAUUAGUCCCCAAGACACCCUUUACUGAUAUGCUGCUCAAGCCUAAACCAGAAGCACAAUUGAUCAACGAAUUUUGUGAUCAGCGAAUAUCUAUAAUUUCUCAAGUGGCAGAAUACACCAUGCGUGGUGAUCCAAACAUUUCUUUUACACUUAUAGUUAGCUAGUCAACCAAGAAGGUUUGCUAUGCUGAAGCAGGGGAGGAUUUUGUAAUUUUUUUUCUUCAGUUUCCUUAUUGUUCCACUUGGGUUUAUACUGAAGCAGACAGGCGAUGGUUCUUCUUGGACAGGAUGCAUUGAUAACUUGUACAAGAGUGUAGAAGAUAUUGAUGGCCAAUACUUGAUGUCAACUUCCCACUAAACAAUUCUACUUAGUCCCAAGCUAGCCCUUGGUUUUAGCUAUGCUAACCAUCCUUAGGAAUUGAGGGAGCCACUUCCCACUCUAAUAUAUCAGAGAAACCAGUUUUUGUAGACCCCCAAAUCAUGAUUGUGUUGGAGGAUUCUUAAGAGCUCCGGCAAUGUACAUGGUAACUGAUAGCCUGAUCGUAAGACUGUUAUUGCCAAUCUUUGGCCUCUCCGUUGUGACCAAUUGAGUGUACCUGUCACUGACAUUGAAGUGCAAUGAAUCUUGGCAAGGUGGAGGCUGUGAGUCUUUUGGUGGCUGCGUUUCUUUUUUACUCUCCUCUAACUGGUUUCUAUAGGAUGACAGAUCAAGAACAAUAGAGGCUGUUUUUAAAAGCUAUCGUCGGAAGGCCAUUGCGUUUGAAAUGAUCUAGUUGUUUUAUUUGUACCAAAAACUUUCUACUGCUCAACUUUAAAGGCAAACAGCUUUUUUGUGAAAAACAGAGGAUGUAUUUGUUGAAAACAUGAGCACCAGUGGACAAAUUGUUGUUUGGGGCGAUCAAACAAGA